UCAAGCGAACAAGGGCGCAGGGCGAAUGCCUUGGCACUGGGAGCCGAUGAAAGACGUGAUAAGCUGCGAUAAGCUUCGGGGAGCUGCAAAUAAGCAUUGAUCCGGAGAUUUCUGAAUGAGGAAACUCACCUGGGUUCAUACUCAGGUACGUUGUACUGAAAUUCAAAAUAGGUACAUCGGGGGAACCGCCUGAACUGAAACAUCUAAGUAGGGCGAGGAAGAGACAUCAAACGAGAUUCCGUAAGUAGUGGCGAGCGAACGCGGAAGAGGGCAAACCGGGAGUAGAAAUACUUCCGGGGUACGGACUGCUUUUAGGACUCGAUCUGUUAACCGAACGGCAUGGGAAGGCCGGUCAGAGAGUGUGAGAACCACGUAGGUGAAAACGGAAAGAGCUGCGCAGAUUCCAGAGUACGGCCAGACACGUGAAACCUGGUCGGAAGAUGGGGGGACCACCCUCCAACCCUAAAUACUACCCAGUGACCGAUAGCGUAUAGUACUGUGAAGGAAAGGUGAAAAGCACCCCGGGAGGGGAGUGAAAAAGAACCUGAAACCCUGUGCCUACAAGCACCUAGAGCACGUCAAAGUGUGAUAGGGUACUUUUUGUAGAACGGUCCGGCGAGCGAUUGUAUGCAGCAAGGUUAAGGACUUAAGGUCUGGAGCCGAAGCGAAAGCGAGUUUGAAAAGGGCGUUAAGUUGCAUAUAAUGGGCCCGAAACCGGGUGACCUACCCAUGGUCAGGUUGAAGUGGAAGUAAAAUUCCAUGGAGGACCGAACCGACCUCCGUUGAAAAGGCGGCGGAUGAACUGUGGGUAGCGGAGAAAUUCCAAUCGAACCCGGAGAUAGCUGGUUCUCCCCGAAAUAGUUUUAGGACUAGCCUCAAGUUAGAUACCUGGAGGUAAAGCACUGAAUAGCCUAGCGGCCGAGAGGUUAGCGAAGCUUAUCAAACUCAGAAUGCCAGAGUAUUGAUGCUUGGGAGUCAGACAGUGUCAGAUAAAUGUCAUUGUCAAAAGGGAAACAGCCCAGAUCUACAGCUAAGGUCCCAAAGUCAGGUUAAGUGGAAAACGAUGUGAAGAUACGCAGACAACCAGGAUGUUGGCUCAGAAGCAGCCACUCAUUCAAAGAGUGCGUAAUAGCUCACUGGUCGAGCGUCUUUGCGCGGAGAAUUUAACGGGGCUAAACCUGACACCGAAGCUUAGGCAAUCCAGCAAUGGAUUGGGUAGGGGAGCGUUGUAUACGCGGAGAAACAGUAGCGUAAGCGGCUGUGGAGUGUAUAGAAGUGAGAAUGCCGGAAUGAGUAGCGCGAAUGCAGUGAGAAUCUGCAUGGCCGAAAGCCUCAGGUUUUUGGAGGAAGGUUCGUCCGCUCCAAGUUAGUCGGGAGCUAAGGUGAGGCCGGAAGGCGUAGCCGAUGCACAGACGGUAGAGAUUCCGUCACCACCAAAAGAGUUAAGCACAGGGACACAUUUGAAGUCUCAGAGCCGGGUGUUGGUUCCGGUAGAGAUCGAGGGAAGUUAGUACCGAAGUCUGGGAUGGAGGAUGGCGAGAAAAGCUGUGUGUAUUUCUGAGGUGCCCGUACCGCAAACCGACACAGGUAGGUAGGAAGAAGAUUCUAAGGCCAACGGGAGAAGGGUUGUUAAGGAACUCGGCAAAUUGACCCCGUAACUUCGGGAGAAGGGGUGCUCCAGAGAUGGAGCCGCAGAGAAUCGGCCCAAGCAACUGUUUACCAAAAACACAGGUUUGUGCUAAAUCGAAAGAUGACGUAUACGAGCUGACGCCUGCCCGGUGCUGGAAGGUUAAGAGGAGAUGUGCAAGCAUUGAAUCGAAGCCCCAGUGAACGGCGGCCGUAACUAUAACGGUCCUAAGGUAGCGAAAUUCCUUGUCAGGUAAG
rnacentral:rRNA from 1 species